UACGUAGGGGGCAAGCGUUGUCCGGAAUCAUUGGGCGUAAAGAGCGUGUAGGCGGACUGGAAGGUCUGGUGUGAAAGCCCGGGGCUCAACCCCGGAGGGUCACUGGAAACCAACAGUCUUGAGUCCGGAAGAGGAGAGUGGAAUUCCUGGUGUAGCGGUGGAAUGCGCAGAUAUCAGGAAGAACACCCGUGGCGAAGGCGGUUCUCUGGGACGGUACUGACGCUGAGACGCGAAAGCGUGGGGAGCGAACAGG
rnacentral:rRNA from 1 species